UACGAAGGGGGCUAGCGUUGCUCGGAAUCACUGGGCGUAAAGCGCACGUAGGCGGAUUGCUAAGUCAGGGGUGAAAUCCUGGAGCUCAACUCCAGAACUGCCUUUGAUACUGGCGAUCUUGAGUCCGGGAGAGGUGAGUGGAACUGCGAGUGUAGAGGUGAAAUUCGUAGAUAUUCGCAAGAACACCAGUGGCGAAGGCGGCUCACUGGCCCGGUACUGACGCUGAGGUGCGAAAGCGUGGGGAGCGAACCGG
rnacentral:rRNA from 1 species